AAACUCCAAAGAUGAAGAUAACUAAGGUCUCUCUUGCUCAUUCGAAGCUCUGCUUCUCUUUCAGCACACUACACAACACUCACUCUCCCUCCAUACUUCACCAAUAUCUUCCCCUUACAACAAGUUAAAUGAAUCCCUAAUUGCAGAGCCAAGAAAGAAAAAAUAUGCCCACAAUUUCUUCCAUACUUACUACCACCAACAUCCUCCUUUCUUCACACCCUUCAACUUCCACUCAUCCUUCCAAAGUCUCUUUCUUUCCCUCAUUGCACCCUCCCCUUUUCUCCAAAUCUCUUUCGUGUCCUUAUCCUCUAUGUAACUUUUUAAGAAAUCCCAAGAGAAUAGUUUCUUCAAAAUCAUCUGAAGCAGAGGAGAUAUCUUCAACAGAAGAUGAGUGGCUUCAAAGACUCCCUGACAAGAAAAAGCCUCUUUACUCUCAUAGCUUACCUUGCAUUGAAGCUUGGUUGAAGGAUUUGGGGUUUUAUCAAAGCAAGGAGGACCGUGCUAUUUGGUUUAUUGAGAAACCUGAUUGGCAUGCUCAGUUGUCACUUGAUGUCACUGAUCUUUUUAUAAGGUACUUGAAGAAUGGACCAGGGAAUCUUGAAAAGGAUAUGGAGAGGAGAUUCAGUUACGCACUGAGUAGAGAAGAUAUAGAAAAUGCCAUUCUUGGAGGACCAUAGAGUCAAUGAAUGCGAUCAUUGCAUCCUUUGAAUGGUCUCGUUAUUUAUUCAUGGAAUAUCUCAUAGGACUUGCAUGGUGCACAUUCCUCAUGCUGGCACAUGCCCUACUUUUUUUGUUUUAUUUUUCCUUUAAUGUAUCCUAACUUGCCUAAUCCUCCUUAAUGGGCUUUGAUGAUUGAUAAAUGCCGGACGCUCUUGCAAAAACUUGAUAUUUGAAUACAAUUACAAAACUGACGCUAGGAACUUUUGUUCCUCAUCCAUCUUUUACCCCCCUUCCUAUCCCUACAGUAUUUUUGUGAUACGCCAAGUCCUCCUCAUACCUUGUCCUGGAACCAUUGUCUUUGCUGCCAGCUUCGUAGUGAUUCUGCUGCAUGAAAUAAAUUUCAGCUUCAAUGUGAUUCUGCUGUGUGUAAAUGAGACCAGUACUCCAUCCCAAGCUGUCCCAACAGUGAACGUUCUGUCUUCAUUAGCUUUAUUGGCUCAUCAUACGCUACUACUUUUCCUGAAAUAGAUCAAAAACAGCUCACUGGUGCAUCUUGAAUUUUGUUCUGAUAUAUCUCUACAUAAAGUUCUCACGACAGUUGACUCA